rnacentral:lncRNA from 1 species
GGGUUGUGGUUGCUGGCUGUUACCAGGACAACCGGAGGCGAUUGACCGUUAUCUGCGGUUUGGAGCCGUUAGCGGGAGAGGCAGAGAUAUUCAGAGGUCUUUUAGGAUGCGCUAAAGGGUCGUGAGGGCUCUCUUAAAAUUUUCUUCACAAGCGGUUAUCCAGUCGUGCCCCGCGGCCCUGCUGCUGGCCCCGGGGAUCUGAGUCGUACCCUCUUGUUUUUCUCUGAGUCAGUCUUAAGGUGAAAUGAAGUGUGGCCCAGUGGCUCCUCACUGUCGCUUCUCUAGUUUUCUGCCUCCUUUUAGAAAAGUGAAUUGAAAAGACAGGAUGAAGUGGACACAGCAUGUGAAGACAAUUCUUUCAAGAAGUUUGGCUGUCAAGGAAAACAGAGAAUGUGCUAAAGAACAUACAGACACAGAGCAGACAGGCCACCUUUGCAACCACAUGGAGGUUUGUCUGAUAUUGAAGCUAAAGAAGCUAAGCUGGAAGACAGAGAGACCAAGUCCUGAUGACAUUGUUUGAACCCAGAGAUCCAGACAUGCCUGAAAACUAGUUUUACCACUGGACUUAUCCGUUGAAUGAGCC